AUUGAACGCUGGCAGCAGGCCUAACACAUGCAAGUCGAGCGGAGCGGCGGACGGGUGAGUAAUGCCUAGGAAUCUGCCUGGUAGUGGGGGAUAACGUCCGGAAACGGGCGCUAAUACCGCAUACUAUCAGAUGAGCCUCGUUGGGAUUAGAUAGUGGGUGGGGUAAAGGCCUACCAAGGCGACGAUCCGUAACCGGUCUGAGAGGAUGAUCAGUAACCCUGGAACUGAGACACGGUCCAGACUCCUACGGGAGGCAGCAGUGGGGAAUAUUGGACAAUGGGCGAAAUCCUGCUCCAGCCAUGCCGCGUGUGUGAAGAAGGUCUUCGGAUUGUAAAGCACGUUAAUUUGGGAGGCGUUACCAACAGAAUAAGCACCGGCUAACUUCGUGCCAGCCGCCGCGGUAAUAC
rnacentral:rRNA from 1 species